UACGUAGGGGGCAAGCGUUGUCCGGAAUCAUUGGGCGUAAAGCGCGUGUAGGCGGUUCGGUAAGUCUGCUGUGAAAGUCCAAGGCUCAACCUUGGGAUGCCGGUGGAUACUGUCGGGCUAGAGUGCGGAAGAGGCGAGUGGAAUUCCCGGUGUAGCGGUGAAAUGCGCAGAUAUCGGGAGGAACACCAAUGGCGAAGGCAGCCCCCUGGGCCGACAUUGACGCCUCAGGCACGAAAGCGUGGGGAGCAAACAGGG
rnacentral:rRNA from 1 species